rnacentral:misc_RNA from 1 species
GUGGUUCAUUAUUUUUUAGUAUACUGAAUAUAUUUUAUAAUUUAUCUUCAUUUCACAAUGUAAUUUAUCAUUAAAUUAAGGGAGUAAAUGAAAGAAGUUUUGUCCGAAAAAUACUUUGAUGAUUAACGAACCUACCCUUGAAUCUUAUGGUUAUAAGGUUGAAAUGAUCGAACUCUAAAUAAUAAAAGGGAAAAACAAAUUUUCAUGUCACUUAUAUUCUAAGUUAUUAUUGAUGAUUAAUUUAGUGAUAUUUGAGUUGUGUCUAAAAUUUUAAGGUUAUAAGUUCGAAUUUUAAUUGAAAUCAAUUGAGAGAAAAAAAAUUCUAGGUUAG